AGUGAACGCUGGCGGUAGGCCUAACACAUGCAAGUCGAACGGCAGCACAGUAAGAGCUUGCUCUUACGGGUGGCGAGUGGCGGACGGGUGAGGAAUACAUCGGAAUCUACUUUUUCGUGGGGGAUAACGUAGGGAAACUUACGCUAAUACCGCAUACGGCCUACGGGUGAAAGCAGGGGAUCUUCGGACCUUGCGCGAUUGAAUGAGCCGAUGUCGGAUUAGCUAGUUGGCGGGGUAAAGGCCCACCAAGGCGACGAUCCGUAGCUGGUCUGAGAGGAUGAUCAGCCACACUGGAACUGAGGCACGGUCCAGACUCCUACGGGGGGCAGCAGUGGGGAAUAUUGGACAAUGGGCGCAAGCCUGAUCCAGCCAUACCGCGUGGGUGAAGAAGGCCUUCGGGUUGUAAAGCCCUUUUGUUGGGAAAGAAAAGCAGCAGGUUAAUACCCCGCUGUUCUGACGGUACCCAAAGAAUAAGCACCGGCUAACUUCGUG
rnacentral:rRNA from 1 species